UACAGGGGGGGCAAGCGUUGUUCGGAAUUACUGGGCGUAAAGGGCUCGUAGGUGGCCAACUAAGUCAGACGUGAAAUCCCUCAGCUUAACUGGGGAACUGCGUCUGAUACUGGAUGGCUUGAGUUUGGGAGAGGGAUGCGGAAUUCCAGGUGUAGCGGUGAAAUGCGUAGAUAUCUGGAGGAACACCGGUGGCGAAGGCGGCAUCCUGGACCAAUACUGACACUGAGGAACGAAAGCCAGGGGAGCAAACGGG
rnacentral:rRNA from 1 species